ACUCCUACGGGAGGCAGCAGUGGGGAAUAUUGCACAAUGGGGGAAACCCUGAUGCAGCCAUGCCGCGUGUGUGAAGAAGGCCUUCGGGUUGUAAAGCACUUUCAGUAGGGAGGAAGGUAGUGUAGUUAACACCUGCAUUAUUUGUACGUUACCUACAGAAGAAGCACCGGCUAACUCCGUGCCAGCAGCCGCGGUAAGUACGGAGGGUGCGAGCGUUAAUCGGAAUUACGUGGGCGUAAAGCGCAUGCAGGCGGCCUGUUAAGUCAGAUGUGAAAGCCCGGGGCUUAACCUCGGAAUUGCAUUUGAAACUGGCAGGCUAGAGUCUUGUAGAGGGGUUAGAAUUUCGAGGUGUAGCGGUGAAAUGCGUAGAGAUCUGAAGGAAUACCAGUGGCGAAGG
rnacentral:rRNA from 1 species